AAAAUAUCGCGCGUUUCUGCCUUCUCACCGUUCCUCUGUCCUCUCGAUUUUUCCCGAUCAACAAUGGCUUCAUCAUCUUCUGGGUCAACAGCUUUCUGAACUGUUAAUUCCAGCAAUGCAUCAUGGAUAUAACUGUCGGAGAAUGUUAAGUAUUCGAGAGAUAGAGUCGGUAUCUUUGGCGCCAAACAUUCUUGCAGGCAGGCAGAUUGCCAGUGCAGUUUCCACAAUCUUGUAAGCAGGGCCCGCCUCUGCAUGCCUGAUCAUCAACACAACUGUUAACUACUGUUUAUAUUUAUCAGCCUACAGCACUAACAGUGUUUCUCGGUAUACUUUCGCUAAUGUUCUGAUCUUACCAUUCUUUUUUUGGUUCCAGUUAAUAUAAAUUUAUCAUAAACCAGAUCAACCAGUUUGGUAUUGCAGCUCAGUGAUCCUGAUUUGUGCUUGACAUGUCAGGUGCUUUAUAUUCUUGUUUUUUUAGUUCUAAUGUCCGUGAAUAGUUUUAGAGUUGUUUAAAUGACUGGGGCUUGUUAGACAGAUUUAUAUUAUAGUUUAGACAGAACAGUAUAAAGACUCGACCUUCAUUCUCAA